rnacentral:rRNA from 1 species
GACGAACGCUGGCGGCGUGCUUAACACAUGCAAGUCGAACGGAAAGGCCCUGCUUUUGUGGGGUGCUCGAUUGGCGAACGGGUGAGUAACACGUGAGUAACCUGCCCUUGACUUUGGGAUAACUUCAGGAAACUGGGGCUAAUACCGGAUAGGAGCUCCUGCUGCAUUGUGGGGGUUGGAAAGUUUCGGCGGUUGGGGAUGGACUCGCGGCUUAUCAGCUUGUUGGUUGGGUAGUGGCUUACCAAGGCUUUGACGGGUAGCCGGCCUGAGAGGGUGACCGGCCACAUUGGGACUGAGAUACGGACCAGACUCCUACGGGAGGCAGCAGUGGGGAAUAUUGCACAAUGGGCGGAAGCCUGAUGCAGCAACGCCGCGUGCGGGAUGACGGCCUUCGGGUUGUAAACCGCUUUCGCCUGUGACGAAGCGUGAGUGACGGUAAUGGGUAAAGAAGCACCGGCUAACUACGUG